GAAUCCAAAAAUAACCGCCCGAAGGCCGGGGCGCCAAGUUCGUCCAGCGGAAAAAGGCCACAAAAACGGGUGGGCUAUAGCCUCUGGGGGUGGAACUGGCCCACUUCGUCCGCCGGCCUCGGAAUGCCGCGAGACUUUGCGAGGGGCCUCCAUGCGCCAAAAAUAGGCCGCGGACAAAGCGGGGCCCAAAAAUAACCGCCCGAAGGCCGGGACGCCAAGUUCGUCCAGCGGAAAAAGGCCACAAAAACGGGUGGGCUAUAGCCUUUGGGGGUGGAACUGGCCCACUUCGUCCGCCGGACUCGGAAUGCCGCGAGACUUUGCGAGGGGCCUCCAUGUGCCAAAAAUAGGCCACGGACAAAGCCGGGCCCAAAAAUAACCGCCCGAAUGCCGGGACGCCAAGUUCGUCCAGCGGAAAUAGGCCACAAAAACGGGUGGGCUAUAGCCUUGGGGGAUGGGGCUGACCAACUUCGUCCGCCGGACUCGGAAUGCCGUGAGACUUUGCGAGGGGCCUCUGUGUGCCAAAAAUAGUCCGCCGGCAAAGCCGCGCCCAAAAAUAACCGCCCGAAGGAAGGGGCUCCAAGUUCGUCCAGCGGAAAAAGGCCACAAAAAAGGGUGGGCGAUAGCCUUGGCGGGUGGGGCUGGCCAACUUCGUCCGCCGGACUCGGAAUGCUGCGAGACUUUGCGAGGGGCCUCCGUGUGCCAAAAAUAGGCCGCGGGCAAAGCCGCGCCCAAAAAUAACAGCCCCAAGGCCGGGGCGCCAAGUUCAUCCAGCGGAAAAAGGCCACAAAAACGCGUGGGCUAUAGCCUUGGGGGGUGGGGCUGGCCAACUUCGUCCGCCGGACUCGGAAUGCCGCGAGACUUUGCGAGGGGCCUCUGUGUGCGAAAAAUAGGCCGCGGGCAAAGCCGCGGCCAAAAAUAACCGCCUGAAGGUCGGGGCGCCAAGUACGUCCAGCGGAAAAAGGCCACAAAAACGGGUGGGCUAUAGCCUUGGGGGGUGGGGCUGGCCAACUUCGUCCGCCGGACUCGGAAUGCCGCGAGCCUUUGCGAGGGGCCUCCAUGUGCCAAAAAUAGGCCGCGGGCAAAGCCAAAUAUAAUAAUAACCACCCGAAGGCCGGGGCGCCAAGUUCGUCCAGCGGAAAAAGGCCACAAAAACGGGUGGGCUAUAGCCUUGGGGGGUGGGACCGGCCCACUUCGUCCGCCGGACUCGGAAUGCUCCGAGACUUUGCGAGGCGCCUCCGUGUGCAAAAAAUAGGCCGCGGGCAAAGCCGGGCCCAAAAAUAACUGCCCCAAGGCCGGGGCGCCAAGUUCGUCCAGCGGAAAAAGGCCACAAAAACGGGUGGGCUAUAGCCUUGGCGGGUGGGGCUGGCCAACUUUGUCCGCCGGGCUCGGAAUGCUCCGAGACUUUGCGAGGGGCCUCCGUCUGCCAAAAAUAGGCCGCGGGCAAAGCCGCGCCCAAAAAUAACCGCCCGAAGGCCGGGGCGCCAAGUUCUUCCAGCGGAAAAAGGCCACAAAACGGGUGGGCUAUAGCCUUGGGGGGUGGGGCUGGCCAAUUUCGUCCGCCGGACUCAGAAUGCCGAGAGAUUUUGCGUGGGGCCUCCGUGUGCCACAAAUAGGCCGCGGACAGAGCCGGGCCCAAAAAUAACCGUCCGAAGGCCGGGGCGCCAAGUUCGUCCGGCGGAAAAACGCCACAAAAACGGGUGGGCUAUAGCCUUGGGGGGUGGGGCUGGCCAACUUCGUCCGCCGGACUGGGAAUGCUGCGAAACUUUGCGAGGGGCCUCCGUGUGCCAAAAAUAGGCCGCGGGCAAAGCCGCGCCCAAAAAUAACUGCCCCAAGGCCGGGGCGCCAAGUUCAUCCAUCGGAAAAAGGGCACAAAAACGGGUGGGCUAUAGCCUUGGGGGGUGGGACUGGCCCACUUCGUCCGCCGGACUCGGAAUGCCGCAAGAUUUUGCGAGGGGACUUCGUGUGCCAAAAAUAGGCCGCGGGGAAAGCCGCGUCCAAAAAUAACCGCCCGAAGGCCGGGGCUCCAGGUUCGUCCAGCGGAAAAAGGCCACAAAAAAGGGUGGGCUAUAGCCUUGGGGGGUGGGGCUGGCCAACUUCGUCCGCCGGACUCAGAAUGCCGCGAGAUUUUGCGAGGGGCCUCCGUGUGCCAAAUUAGGCCGUGGACAAGGCGGGUCCCAAAAAUAACCGCCCGAAGGCCGGGGCUCCAAGUACGUCCAGCGGAAAAAGGCCACAAAAAAGGGUGGGCGAUAGCCUUGGCGGGUGGGGCUGGCCAACUUCGUCCGCCGGACUCGGAAUGCCGCGAGACUUUACGAGGGGCCUCCGUGUGCCAAAAAUAGGCCGCAGGGAAAGCCGCGUCCAAAAAUAACCGCCCGAAGGCCGGGGCUCCAAGUUCGUCCAGCGGAAAAAGGCCACAAAAAAGGGUGGGCUAUAGCCUUGGGGGGUGGGGCUGGCAAACUUCGUCCGCCGGACUCGGAACUGCGAGACUUUGCGAGGGGCCUCCGUGUGCAAAAAAUAGGCGGCGGGCAAAGGCGCACCCAAAAAUAACUGCCCGAAGGCCGGGGCGCCAAGUUCGUCCAGCGGAAAAAGGCCACAAAAACGCGUGGGCUAUAGCCUUGGGGGGUGGGGCUGGCCAACUUCAUCCGCCGGACUCGGAAUGCCGCGAGACUUUGCGAGGGGCCUCCGUGUGCCGAAAAUAGGCUGCGGGCAAAGCCGCGCCCAAAAAUAACCGCCCGAAGGCCGGAGCGCCAAGUUCGUCCAGCGGAAAAAGGCCCCAAAAACGGGUGGGCUAUAGCCUCGGGGGGUGGGGCUGGCCAACUUAGUCCGCCGGAGUCAGAAUGCCGCGAGAUUUUGUGAGGGACCUCCGUGUGCCAAAAAUAGGCCGCGGACAAGGCCGGGCCCAAAAAUAACUGCCCGACGGCCGGGGCUCCAAGUUCGUCCGGCGGAAAAACGCCACAAAAACGGGUGGGCUAUAGCCUUGGGGGGUUGGGCUGGCCAACUUCGUCCGCCGGACUCGGAAUGGUGCUAGAUUUUGCAAGGGGCCUCCGUGUGCCAAAAAUAGGCCGCGGACAAAGCCGGGCCCAAAAAUAACCGCCCGAAGCCNNNNNNNNNNNNNNNNNNNNNNNNNNNNNNNNNNNNNNNNNNNNNNNNNNNNNNNNNNNNNNNNNNNNNNNNNNNNNNNNNNNNNNNNNNNNNNNNNNNNUAACCUUGGGGGUGGGGCUGGCCAACUUGUCCGCUGGACUCGGAAUGGCGCUAGAUUUGCGAGGGGCCUCCGUGUGCCAAAAAUAGGCCGCGGACAAAGCCGCGCCCAAAAAUAACCGCCCGAAGGCCGGGGCUCCAAGUUCGUCCAGCGGAAAAAGGCCACAAAAAAGGGUGGGCUAUAGCCUUGGCGGGUGGGGCUGGCCAACUUCGUCCGCCGGACUCGGAAUGCCGCGAGACUUUGCGAGGGGCCUCUGUGUACCAAAAAUCGGCCGCGGGCAAAGCUGCGCCAAAAAAUAACAGCCCGAAGGCUGGGGCGUCAACUUCGUCCAGCGGAAAAAGGCCACAAAAACGGGUGGGCUAUAGCCUUGGGGGGUGGGGCUGGCCAACUUCGUCCGCCGGACUCAGAAUGCCGCGAGACUUUGCGAGGGGCCUCCGUGUACCAAAAAUAGGCCGCGGAAAAAGCCGGGCCCAAAAAUAACCGCCGGAAGGCCGGGGCGCCAAGUUCGUCCGGCGGAAAAACGCCACAAAAACGGGUGGCCUAUAGCCUUGGGAGGUGGGGCUGGCCAACUUUGUCCGCCGGACUUGGAAUGCCGCGAGACUUUACGAGGGGCCUUCAUGUGCCAAAAAUAGGCCUCGGGCAAAGCCGCGCCCAAAAAUAACCGCCCGAAGGCUGGGGCGCCAAGUUCGUCCAGCGGAAAAAGGCCACAAAAACGGGUGGGCUAUAGCCUUGGGGGGUCGGGCCGGCCAAGUUCGUCCGCCGGACUCGGAAUGCUGCGAGACUUUGCGAGGGGCCUCCGUGUGCCAAAAAUAGGCCGCGGGCAAAGCCGCACCCAAAACUAACCGCCCGAAGGCCGGGGCGCCAAGUUCGUCCAGCGGAAAAAGGCCACAAAAACAGGUGGGCUAUAGCCUUGGGGGGUGGGGCUGGCCAACUUCGUCCGCCGGACUCGGAAUGCCGCGAGACUUUGCGAGGGGCCUCCGUGUGCCAAAACUAGGCCGCGGACAAAGGCGCGCCCAAAAAUAACCGCCCGAAGGCCGGGGCGCCAAAUUCGUCCAGCGGAAAAAGGCCACAAAAACGGGUGGGCUAUAGCCUUGGGGGGUGGGGCUGGCCAACUUCGUCCGCCGGACUCGGAAUGCCACGAGACUUUGCGAGGGGCCUCCGUGUGCCAAAAAUAGGCCGCGGGCAAAGCCAUGCCCAAAAAUAACUGCCCGAAGGCCGGGGCGCCAAGUUCGUCCAGCGGAAAAAGGCCACAAAAACGGGUGGGCUAUAGCCUUGGGGGGUGGGGCUGGCCAACUUAGUCCGCCGGAGUCAGAAUGCCGCGAGAUUUUGUGAGGGGCCUCCGUGUGCCAAAAAUAGGCCGUGGACAAGGCCGGGCCCAAAAAUAACUGCCCGACGGCCGGGGCUCCAAGUUCGUCCGGCGGAAAAACGCCACAAAA
rnacentral:lncRNA from 1 species